GCCUUCGUGGUGUAGUGGUUUAGCACGCUGGAUGGGUAUUCCAGAGGUCCGUGGUUCGAUUCCCGGCGAAGGCG
rnacentral:tRNA from 1 species